CUGGUAAGAAUGAGAAGCCUAAGUCAUCAUUAAUCCACAGGCAAAGUGCUAUUCAAGCAGCUGUAGUGAAAGCUCUCGUAUGCUGCCCUGGAAAUAACCCCAGCCUUGACGUGGUAAAAUGACCCUAGGUAAGGUCAGAAGAUCAGUUCUCAUUUUCAUUUAAGCUUCUGGUUUU
rnacentral:sRNA from 1 species